CUCGUAGGCGGUUCGUCGCGUCCGGUGUGAAAGUCCAUCGCUUAACGGUGGAUCUGCGCCGGGUACGGGCGGGCUGGAGUGCGGUAGGGAAGACUGGAAUUCCCGGUGUAACGGUGGAAUGUGUAGAUAUCGGGAAGAACACCAAUGGCGAAGGCAGGUCUCUGGGCCGUUACUGACGCUGAGGAGCGAAAGCGUGGGGAGCGAACA
rnacentral:rRNA from 1 species